rfam:Anopheles atroparvus strain EBRO unplaced genomic scaffold supercont1.1, whole genome shotgun sequence.
GUAGGCUACGGCGACAUGACGCCAAAGACCUACAUCGGGAUGUUCGUCGGAGCGCUCUGUGCACUGGCGGGCGUGUUGACGAUAGCGCUGCCCGUGCCCGUCAUCGUGAGCAAC